rfam:Salmo salar isolate Sally breed double haploid chromosome ssa10, whole genome shotgun sequence.
UGCAUUCACUACUGUAAGUCGCUCUGGAUAAGAGCGUCUGCUAAGUACCUAAAA